rnacentral:tRNA from 1 species
GGGCCCGUAGCUCAGUUGGGAGAGCGCUAGAAUCGCACUCUAGAGGUCGUCGGUUCGAUUCCGAUCGGGUCCA